AUUGAACGCUGGCGGCAGGCCUAACACAUGCAAGUCGCGCGAGCGGCGGACGGGUGAGUAAUGUAUGGGGACUGCCCGAUAGAGGGGGAUAACUACUGGAAACGGUGGCUAAUACAGCAUACUAUCGGAUCACCCCUAUGGGAUUAGCUCGUAGGUUGGGUAAAGGCUCACCUAGGCGACGCUCUCUAGCUGGUCUGAGAGGAGGAUUAGCCAGACUGGUACUGAGACACGAUCCAGACCGCUGCGGAGGGAGCAGAGAGGAAUAUAGCACAAUGGGAGCAAGCCUGAUGCAGCCAUGCCGCGUGUAGGAAGAAGGCUUAGAAUAGGAGAGUACUUUCAGCGGGGAGGCGUUACCCGAAGAAGAAGCACCGGCUAACUCCGUACCAGCAUACGCGGUGAUAC
rnacentral:rRNA from 1 species